rnacentral:rRNA from 1 species
GGGAUUGCCUUAGUAACGGCGAGUGAAGCGGCAACAGCUCAAAUUUGAAAUCUGGCUCUUUUAGGGUCCGAGUUGUAAUUUGUAGAGGGUGCUUCGGCAUUGGCCUUGGUCUAAGUUCUUUGGAACAAGACGUCACAGAGGGUGAGAGUCCCGUACGUGGCCAGUGGUCCUUGCUAUGUGAAGCCCCUUCGACGAGUCGAGUUGUUUGGGAAUGCAGCUCUAAAUGGGAGGUAAAUUUCUUCUAAAGCUAAAUAUUGGCCAGAGACCGAUAGCGCACAAGUAGAGUGAUCGAAAGAUGAAAAGCACUUUGGAAAGAGAGUCAAAAAGCACGUGAAAUUGUUGAAAGGGAAGCGCUUACAGCCAGACUUGCCUGCAGUUGCUCAUCUAGGCCUAUGCCUGGUGCACUCUUCUGUAGGCAGGCCAGCAUCAGUUUGGGCGGCCAGAUAAAGGCCUUGGGAAUGUAGCUCUCCCCGGAGAGUGUUAUAGCCCAGGGUGCCAUGUGGCCAGCCUGGACUGAGGUCCGCGCUUCGGCUAGGAUGCUGGCGUAAUGGCGGUAAGCGGCCCGUCUUGAAACACGGACCAAGGAGUCUAACAUCUAUGCGAGUGUUUGGGUGUCAAGCCCGGACGCGGAAUGAAAGUGAACGGAGGUGGGAACCUUUGGGUGCACCAUCGACCGAUCCUGAUGUCUUCGGAUGGAUUUGAGUAAGAGCAUAGCUGUUGGGACCCGAAAGAUGGUGAACUAUGCCUGAAUAGGGUGAAGCCAGAGGAAACUCUGGUGGAGGCUCGCAGCGGUUCUGACGUGCAAAUCGAUCGUCAAAUUUGGGCAUAGGGGCGAAAGACUAAUCGAACUAUCUAGUAGCUGGU